UACAGAGGGGGCCAGCGUUAUUCGGAAUUAUUGGGCGUAAAGGGCGCGUAGGCGGCUUUGCGUGUCUUUCGUGAAAUCCCUCGGCUCAACUGAGGACGUGCGGAAGAAACUGCAGGGCUGGAGUCCGGGAGAGGAGGGUGGAAUUCCCAGUGUAGCGGUGAAAUGCGUAGAUAUCGUAAGGAAGACCAGUGGCGAAGGCGGGUCUCUGGACAGUUCCUGACGCUGAGGCACGAAGGCCAGGGGAGCAAACGGG
rnacentral:rRNA from 1 species